rnacentral:rRNA from 1 species
CAGUCGCCGCGGUAAUACGAAGGGUGCAAGCGUUACUCGGAAUUACUGGGCGUAAAGCGUGCGUAGGUGGUGGUUUAAGUCCGUUGUGAAAGCCCUGGGCUCAACCUGGGAAUUGCAGUGGAUACUGGAUCACUAGAGUGUGGUAGAGGAUAGUGGAAUUUCCGGUGUAGCAGUGAAAUGCGUAGAGAUCGGAAGGAACAUCUGUGGCAAAGGCGACUAUCUGGGCCAACACUGACACUGAGGCACGAAAGCGUGGGGAGCAAACAGGAUUAGAUACCCCUGUAGUCCCUGUCUCUUAUAC